CCUGGGACCAGUCCAGCACCUGAUCUCAGACGAUUUAUGGCCCUGGAGCGCAGCCACAUUCUCAUGGUUACAAAGGCGUGUGGACGCGGCCUGGCGCUGCCCUGUCCUCCCAGAGCAUGCGGGUGAGGAAGCGCAGGAGGUGUGAAAUGCUGGUGCUUGCAGUUGUGGUAACUAUUGAUCACCACCUCCGUGGGUUAUUGAAGGCAAAAGAUACAGUGAGAACACGACUGAGCUCCCUCACUUGCCCAAAAUCCACACGUGCCUCCAGGCCCAGAAGCCAAUACUCAUAACCUGCUGCAUUGGACACUAAGCAAAGAACUAAAUGAUACCUACUCCAAAGAGUAUUCACUGUAAGAAAUGACAGAUGGAUAUGGGCAGGACAGUGGCACCACAAGCAGGUAGAGCCAACUGUAACAAAUAUACAUGCUCACUUGUGCUUUCUUCUAGUAGCGUAUUUGCAUU
rnacentral:lncRNA from 1 species